rnacentral:lncRNA from 1 species
UGAAAUAAAAGCAAACAGAGAACAAACAAAAGAAAAUUAAAAGCCUACCAAAAUCAAUUGGUGAGAAAGCAAACUAAACGCUAGAUGAACCAAGGAAAAACCCACAGCCUCUCCCUACUGAAAAUCACAACACUAAAGCCAGGAAAAUCUCCUAAUUUGGAUUAUAUGACAUUGAGCGAACACCAAAGGAGAAAAACAUAAUGCUAAGCAGGAUAAAAUCGAUAAACUCCUGCUUCCAAAAGCCAACCCGAGGACAGAUUAAUCCGGCGGAUCCACCCAUCAUAUGUUGGCAGCAACAACAACUUCGACCUCCACCAGAAUCUCCUCCACACAGAAAUGAUACAUCCCCAAAUUAAAACAUACGACAGCAAGAAGGUGAGAAACCAUGUUCUCUUCUCUAUAACCGUGUUUGACAAUAAAAUAUGAGAAAAAAAAUCGUUAAUUUAUGCUUACCUUCUUUUAUGAGAGCCGCGAUUUCAGACCGGUCCUCAUGCGUGGAGCAAAUAUUCUUGAUUACAAUCAAAGUGUUGCCCUCAAACACCACGUACCUUAAGCCCAGAUCAUCGGCAAAAGAAACUGUUUGGAUAAACGCCUUUACUUCCGCAACAAAAGCAUUAGGUACGUAAUGAUGGAGUUGUUUACUUGCCCCUAAAAUUAGGCCAUUUCGAUUUGUCACCACAACUCCUGAGCAAGACUGCCAGGAAUGAACCCUGUAGGUUGCAUCGAAAUUAACCUUAACAUACGGUUCUGCCGGCGGACGCCAUUUCCUUUCGUGAUGUCCAACACUAAGACUACAAGUUUCACCCAAAACUUGAACUUCUCUGUAAUAGGAAUAGAUCAGAGCCACCAAAGCUGAGGUCGUUUGAACAACCCCUUCAUGAUACCCUUUGUUCUACGACAACUAUAAAGCCUGGAUCGCAAUUAGAAUGAGAUUAACAAUAAUCGUAGAAUGUUUGUUGAACAGAAAUGAUAACCAAUCAAUAACAUCAGUAUUGUUGUGUAUCGCAGGCCAAGAAAUAUUUAGAGAUUGCCACACCGCAGCUACCAUUAUACAAUCGCGAACUACAUGGGUAAUAGUUUCUAGAAUUAUACUGCAUUUAGGACAAAACAUAGUAAAAGAAAUCCUUUUGUUGAAGAGAUUAGAAAGUAGGAAUAUAGUUUUGACAGAAUCUCCAGUUUGUAAUACGGAUUUUAAGAGGCAUUGUUGCUUUCCACAAUUUUGUAUAGAAACAUUAUUUGGG